rnacentral:rRNA from 1 species
GAAUUCAGAACGAAUAUUGAGCCAGAGAGAGUGAAAGCCUCGUCAAUUUAGAUAUAUCUUGAAAAGAAUAUGGUUUAGAAAAGAGUAAAUUUAUUUGGAAGUAUAAAUCGAAAAGGUGAUAGUAUUCAUCAAAGUCUAAAUAUUACAGGAAAACUGAUAGCAAAGAAGUACUGUGAAGGAAAACUUAAAAGAACUUUGGAAAAAGAGUGAAAAGAGCU